rnacentral:rRNA from 1 species
UACGGAGGGUGCAAGCGUUAUUCGGAAUUACUGGGUUUAAAGGGUGCGUAGGCGGUUAAAUAAGUUGUCAGUGAAAGGCUACGGCUCAACUGUAGUAGUGCUGGCGAUACUGUAUAACUAAGGACAUGGGAGGGGUACCUGGAAUGUGUGGUGUAGCGGUGAAAUGCGUAGAUAUCACACAGAACACCGGAGGCAAAGGCGGGGUACUAGACCAUAGUUGACGCUGAGGCACGAAAGCGUGGGGAUCAAACAGGAUUAGAUACCCUGGUAGUCCACGCCCUAAACGAUGAUCACUAGAUAUUGGCGACAGACAGUCAGUGUCCAAGCGAAAGUGAUAAGUGAUCCACCUGGGGAAUACGGCCGCAAGGUUAAAACUCAAAGGAAUUGACGGGGGCCCGCACAAGCGGAGGAGCAUGUGGUUUAAUUCGAUGGUACGCGAGGAACCUUACCUGGGUUAGAACGUAUGAUAGAUGUAGCUGAAAGGUUACAGGCCUGCGAGGGAUAUCAUACGAGGUGCUGCAUGGUU